rnacentral:lncRNA from 1 species
GAGCACCCUAUCAACUAAGGAUAGUAUCAACAUAGAAACAAUAGGUUUCUAUACUCAUCAAUCUAGUGUCUCAGCUACACUAAGAUUUAUAUAUGCCACUCGUCAUAAUUCAAGUGUUCUCGAUGCAUUACUUGUACACAAUCUCUAGGUUGUCAUUUACCUAGGUCUUAUCCACAUUUAUCAUCUCAUUGUAGGAAACAAAACAUAUCAUUAUAUUAAUACUAUAUUGUAUUUCCAAUGUCAAGUUUUCUAAUCAUCCAAGAGUUUUAAACUCAAGUCAACAUGCAUAUGUUAAUUAGCAUAUGUUACUCAACAUAGUCCACGAAUACGUUAACAUGCAUAUGUUCCAAUUUGCAUAGAUCAUUUAGCACAACCAAUUAUAUGUCCUCUAGUAUAAUAUAUCUCAUGCAUUCCUACAACAUCAUUUCCAUGCAUUUCAUUAACAUUUAGUUCAUGCAUUCAUUUAACAUUCAACAUAUUACUUGCCACUAGCAUGCAUUAUAUUCAACAUUUAACAUUAUUGUCCACUAGCAUGCAUUUAACAUUUAACAUCAUUGUCCAUUAGCAUGCAUUUAACAUUUAACAUCAUUGUCCACUAGCAUGCAUUAUAUUCAUAUGCAAUUAUCAUGUAAUAACAUUUCUCACAUUAUAUGCAUUUACCCAAUCUUCACAUCAUAUGCAUCAUAUAGCAUUUAACCCAUUAUAUGCAUCAUAUAGCAUUUAACCUAUUAUAUGCAUCAACUAGGAAAUCAUAUUUUUCUUCGACAUGAGGGCGACCUAGUCGCUUCGGUAAGCACAACCCAC